rnacentral:rRNA from 1 species
UGAAUACGAGACGCUAAGGCGUCGAAGUAGUGUAUGUCAUACUUCCAAGAAAAGCUUGCACUGUCAUAGAUAAAAAACGCCUGUACCAUAACCGACACAGGUGGGUAGGUAGAGUAUACUAAGGGGCGCGAGAUAACUCUCUCUAAGGAACUCGGCAAAAUAACUCCGUAACUUCGGGAGAAGGAGUGCCUUAUUCGUAAGGUUGCAAUAACAAGAUCCAAGCAACUGUUUAUCAAAAACACAGGUCUCCGCUAAGUCGUAAGACGAUGUAUGGGGGCUGACGCCUGCCCAGUGCCAGAAGGUUAAAGAAGUUGGUUAGCAAUUGCGAAGCUGAUAACUGAAGCCCUGGUGAACGGCGGCCGUAACAAUAACGGUCCUAAGGUAGCGAAAUUCCUUGUCGGGUAAGUUCCGACCCGCAAAAGGCGUAAUGAUUUGGAUACUGUCUCGGAGAGGGGCUCGGUGAAAUAGACUUGUCUGUGAAGAUGCGGACUACCUGCACCAGGACAGAAAGACCCUAUGAAGCUUUACUGUAACUUGAAAUUGAAAUUGGACUUUAUUCGCGCAGUAUAGGUGGGAGGCGUUGAUUAUAAUCUUGUGGGAUUAUUGGAGCCAUCAGUGAGAUACCACUCUUGUAAUGUUAGAUUUCUAACUUUGAAUCAUUAUCUGGUCAAAGAACAGUUUCAGGCGGGCAGUUUGACUGGGGCGGUCGCCUCCUAAACGGUAACGGAGGCGUACUAAGGUUUCCUCUGAACGGUUAGAAAUCGUAUCUAGAGUGUAAAGGCAUAAGGAAGCUUGACUGUGAGACCUACAAGUCGAGCAGGGACGAAAGUCGGUCUUAGUGAUCUGACGGUACUGAGUGGAAAGGCCGUCACUCAACGGAUAAAAGUUACUCUAAGGAUAACAGGCUGAUCUCCCCCAAGAGUUCACAUCGACGGGGAGGUUUGGCACCUCGAUGUCGGCUCAUCGCAUCCUGGGGCGGUAGUACGUCCCAAGGGUUGGGCUGUUCGCCCAUGAAAGCGGUACGCGAGCUGGGUUCAGAACGUCGUGAGACAGUUCGGUCCAUAUCCGGUGUAGGCGUUAGAAUAUUGAGAGGAGCCUUCUUUAGUACGAGAGGACCGAGAAGGACAUACCUCUGGUGUACCAGUCAUCGUGCCAACGGUAAACGCUGGGUAGCUAUGUAUGGAGUGGAUAACCGCUGAAAGCAUCUAAGUGGGAAGCCCACCUCAAGAUAAGUAUUCU